CAAGUCGAACGAUUAAAGCUCUCUUCGGAGAGUGCAUAGAGUGGCGCACGGGUGAGUAACACGUAAGUAAUCUACCUUCGAGUGGGGAAUAACGUCCGGAAACGGACGCUAAUACCGCAUAAUGCAGCGGCAUCGCAAGAUGACAGUUGUUAAAGAUUUAUCGCUUGAAGAGGAGCUUGCGGCAGAUUAGCUAGUUGGUAAGGUAAUGGCUUACCAAGGCUACGAUCUGUAACCGGUCUAAGAGGACGGUCGGUCACACUGACACUGAACAACGGGUCAGACUCCUACGGGAGGCAGCAGUCGGGAAUUUUGGGCAAUGGGCGAAAGCCUGACCCAGCAACGCCGCGUGAAGGAUGAAGUAUUUCGGUAUGUAAACUUCGAAAGAAUGGGAAGAAUAAAUGACGGUACCAUUUAUAAGGUCCGGCUAACUACGUGCCAGCAGCCGCGGUAAUACGUAGGGACCAAGCGUUGUUCGGAUUUACUGGGCGUAAAGGGCGCGUAGGCGGCUUGACAAGUCACUUGUGAAAUCUCCGGGCUUAACUCGGAACGGCCAAGUGAAACUGUCAUGCUAGAGUGCAGAAGGGGCAAUCGGAAUUCUUGGUGUAGCGGUGAAAUGCGUAGAUAUCAAGAGGAACACCUGAGGUGAAGACGGGUUGCUGGGCUGACACUGACGCUGAGGCGCGAAAGCCAGGGGAGCAAACGGGAUUAGAUACCCCGGUAGUCCUGGCCCUAAACGAUGAAUACUUGGUGUCUGGAGUUAUUAGUGCUCCGGGUGCCGUCGCUAACGUUUUUAGUAUUCCGCCUGGGGAGUACGCUCGCAAGAGUGAAACUCAAAGGAAUUGACGGGGACCC
rnacentral:rRNA from 1 species